rnacentral:tRNA from 1 species
CAGAUACAUGUGCGCAUGCACGUGUACACACAUGCAUGCAUACACACAUGCAUUUGUAGAUAUAUGUGUAGGUGUGUACACACAACAUACACAUAUGCAUCCACACAUACACAUAUACAUAUGAGGUGGCACGUUCAGCUUUCAAGAGGACCAUCAGGGACUUUGUCACCUUGACAACUUUAGCCUUGCCUUCUAGUCACCUUGCCGGAACACUUGUGCCCGUGUUUUUCUAGCACUGUCAUAAGAAUACUUUUACCUAUCAAGGCAACUGGGGGUUAGGAGAGCUUUUUGCACAGGAGGCUACUUGGCUUUGUUUGAAAACUGAUGAUACAUGAGGAUUGGGGUGGUGAAUCACUCACAUGUUUCUUCAUAUGAAAAAUGAGGACUGUGGGAUUCUCUGGCUGGAUCUCAGCACCUAGAAAUGGAUCUGGGCAAUAGGAACUGCUCAGUAUUAGCUACCGCUUUGGUUGCCUUCUCCUUGCGGAAAGCUGGCCUCUCACACUGAAUUUGUAUCAUAGGCACUCAUGAGGGUCUUGACUGUAUCAAUAUCUGAUGAGAGAUUUUAGUGCAGUUCUGUUAUCGUGGCUGAUUUGCUCAUUUGGUAGCUAGCAUCCAGCUUCUUGUGAACAUUAAAAUAAAAUAAAAUAGAUUAUGGAGGAAUAGAAUACAGAUACGUAGUAAGGUAUUAUUUUCCAGACAAAAUGGAUUUGGAUAAAAGAAUCUAAUUAAGAACUUGUGCAUGAUUCUUUUAAAAUUCUUUUGAAUCCAUUUUUUUUUUUUUGGCCUGUUUUCAAGUCUCCGAUUUUUGUCACCCUUCUCACACCAGGUCAGAGAGAUAGCUAAUGGUCAGAAGGAAUCUUCCAGCAAUGACCAUAGCGCUUUCUCCUGCCUGCAGAUGCCUCUUUUUAUUCAGCCUUUAUGGGAAGUAGCAGCACCAUCCAGUUCUCAGAGAGCAAGCUCUGGAGUAACUGAGCUAACCCCAGUUACCCCAGUGGAUUUACAGAUUGAGGUUACAACCCAGCAGGGUUCUCUUCCUGGAAAGAAUAGCCUUCCCUCUAAGGUUUCAAAUAGACCCUGGGUGAGGAAGGAGCCCUAAACAGCUUGAAAAAUUGAAUGCUCUUUGGGCAAAGCAGGAAGCCGUCCUAUGGAAGAGCAUCAUUUGAGCAUAAAUCAGGUUAUCAGGACAAACAGAGUGUUCAGGAGGUCAAGAUGGUUAAGCAGAGACCCUGACCAGAAUGUCCGUGGCGGAGAGAAACAAUCUUGUUGGGAAAAGGAUGACAAUAAUUGGGGACUUAGAAUAAAGGCUAAAAAUGAUUCAAAGAGAAUGCAAAAAGAAUCAGGCACAAAUCGUUUACUAUACUCUGUUAUGCAAAUCUCACCUUACUAUGUGUUUGUAUUCUAUUCCUCCACAAUCUUUAUUUUAUUUUAAUGUUCAAAGAGACUUGUAGGUGCCAAUUAAAUGAACAAAACAGCCAGAGACAACAGAACUGCCCUAAAAAAAGUCCCGCAUCAGCUCUUGAGAGCAGGUUCCUUAAAGGUGAACAAUAUUCCACAUACAAGGACUUUUUCAGCACCAUGCAUUAGAAAUGGAAGUGAAUGUUUAUUAUUUUUUGUAUAAGUUGGUUGAUAUGGCUUUUCAGCUUCCCUCAGUAUCAUUAUCCAAAUUUUGUAGAUGACACUAAAGCUCAGAGGAGUUAAACCAUUUUCCUUAAAUCACAUAGCUUUAAAUAGGAAAACCAGAUAUGAAAAGCAGAUUUUUUUUCUAAAUUAAAAAACCAAAAACAAAAACACGUGAGCUCUUGCUUUACCCUAGCACAUAGUCUUGCCAUCUGUUUUCUCCACACCAGGUGAUUCCUGUAACAUUCAUUCACAUAACAAAUACAAAUAAAUGAGUGGAUUCAUUCAUCAGAUAUUAAUUCAGAAUCCCUUUUGUGCCUUCCAGAAAUCUGGACCAUCUCACAACCCCCAGAGAGUCUCAGCUACAAGGAACAAGUGAUAAUGCCAUCCCACUUUUAUAAACACACACACACACACAUGCAAUACACACACAAUCAUUUAAUCAUUUUUAAUUAUUUAAUUAUUUUUUAAAAAUCAGUGACACUUUAGCUGGGCAGGUCUAGAUAGGUCUUCUUUGCUGGGACGUGUCUUUUUCUGUCCUGGAAUACCCUAAACUUCACAUUUUGGCAGCGUGAGUUUUCCCUUUGUGACUUUCUCCUUCUUCCCUUUUUUCCUCCUUCUUUGCAGAGAAUGAGUAGCCACUGCACCUUGCCCUGCGCCAUCAAUGAGAAGAUCUGCUCUUAGUAGAGCCCUGCUUUCCCGCUGAAGGCCCUGAAAUCACCUGUGUUCCAGGCCACCCACUAAGGAUAAACAAAGCUUCCCUGAUAUGGGGAAUUAGCUCAAGUGGUAGAGCGCUUGCUUAGCAUGCAAGAGGUAGUGGGAUCAAUGCCCACAUUCUCCAAGCUUUAUUAUUUAGGUACCCAAACCCGAGUCAGUGUCUGAGAGCAAGACACUGCUCUCGGUGUCUUUGGUUCAAGACAUAGGAGCAGCAACAAUACAGGACUGGUGACAGCUUCCUGCUGGCAUUCAGUAUAGUGUAGAUCUACUGUGUAAUUAAUUUUCUGUUUCUUCGAGGAGCUGUGAAACCAAAGGACAUAUAAAACUGCUCUUUUCUCCCUGUUUCUGCCUGCAGCUUGGUCCUAAAUGUGAGACAAUUGUGAAAAGUGGAGGACAGAGCCACCUGGUUAAAUACAGCCCCAGCUUUCUGGUGAGAGGACUGAAACCAAGAUGUGUCAAGUAACUAGAAUGUGCCUGGACAGAUACUGUAGAAAGCAAAACCAUAAAGUUGUUCAUGAGCUUGUGGACGCACCUGCCAGCUGUGAAUAAGUGGCUCUAAUCCCGAACAACUUACCUAAAAAGAGCCUGAGAGCUGAACUGUGCAAUGGCCCACUUUCCAGUCCUCACUGACCACUGGGUUGCACACACUUUGGAGAUCUCUGAACAGCAGUGUCAAGGCUUUCAAAUAGAGUUAUCUUUGAAACGACAACACAUGAAAGUCUGGUUGGUACUUGGAGCUUAAAUACAAGGCAAUUGUGUGCCUGCAAAAACAAAAAUAGCAAUAUUAUCCUUAAGAUUUCAACAAGACACAGUGUCUCAUCACAUAAUCCAAAGAAGUCCAGGUUACAAGCCCCACAAUAUUCAGCAUUAUGAAAAAACAGGGAGAUCUUAAUUCACAUGGCAAAGAGAAUCCUCGAAUAACAAUAUUGAGAGGACACAGAUGUCAAAAUCAUCUGACACAUACAUUAAAGCAGAUAUUAUAACAAUGCUCCUAGAAUCGGGGAUAACAUUCGUGAAGUGAAUGGAAAGUUGGAAAGUCUCACCAAAUAUUUCGAAUACAUAAACACCAAUUUAAACUUAAGAAUUAAAAAAAUGUAUUAACCAAAACUCUUAGGGGAAAUAAAAAGCUUAAUUGGAGGAUCUCCAUAAUCGAAUGCAGAAGACUAAGGAAAAAGUCAAUGAACUUGAAAACAGAACACGAAUACCUACAUAAUCUGAACUAUAGAGAGAAAGGAGGAUUUUAUUGUCUCUGAACAGAGGCUCAGGCACAAAUAAAAAAUAACAAAUCCAACAUUCACAUUAUUGUAAUCUGGAAAGAAGAGGACAAAGUGGUCUUUGUGGGAUAAAACUUUGAACAAUUAAUAGCUGAAAAUGGUUCAAAUUUGUCAAAAGAUAUAAACCAGAUUUUUAAAGUUCAGUAAAUGUCAAUCAGGAUAAACCCAAAGAAACCCAUAGCAAGGCAUAUCAUAAUCAAACUGCUGAAAACUAAGAAAAUACAAAACAAUUUUGAAAGCAGCCAAAGGGAAAUGAAAGAGAAACUACCAAAUGAAUGAUUGUAGAUUUCGCAUCAGGAACCAUAGGGGCCAGAAAAAAUGUCAUAACAUUCGGUAAGUAACAAAAGAAAAAGACAUAUCGACCCAGAAUGCUAUGUGGAGCAAAAGUAUCUUCCAGACAUAAAGGCAAAUAAAUGCAUUCUCAGUGGAAGGUAAGUAAAUACAUUCUCAUUCUUAGGAAGACUGCUGGAAAAGAAUUAGCAAAGAUUUGAGAUAAGAAAAAUGAUACCAGAAGGAAACUUAGAACAUCAUCAGUGAAGGAACAAAAGCAGAAAUAGAACAUGUCUGGGUAGACAUAACAGACUAUUAUUCUUCCCUUGAGUUCCUUAAGGAGACUACGGAAAAGAAGAGUGACUAAGAUCUCUGAAGAAGGGAAAAGCUAGAUGACUGGGCCACAAGAGGAAAAAAAGCAGCAAGACAGGCUCAAGACUUCCCAGUGUCUUUGUCUCCUCUCCCUCAAAUCUCUCCACCCAAUGUCUUGACAAAUACUGUAGAUCCUUCCUGCACAGCAUCACCAGAAUGUUUUUCUUUCUUUUCAUUCACCUCUGUCAUCAUCCAUGCUAUGGUGUUUAUGGAGGAUGUAUUCUGCAGCAGGAAGUGUGAUGGGCACUGACGCUGCAGAAAGACUCCUGUUGUCCACCUCGGGAGCUGACACGAUAAAUGCGGAGAAUGAGUAGCCACUGCACCUUGCCCUGGGCCAUCAGUGAGAAGAUCUGCUCUUAGUAGAGCCCUGCUUUCCCGCUGAAGGCCCUGAAAUCCCCUGUGUUCCAGGCCACCCACUAAGGAUCAAUAAAGCUCCCCUGAUGUGGGGGAAUUAGCUCAAGUGGUAGAGCGCUUGCUUAGCAUGCAAGAGGUAGUGGGAUCGAUGCCCACAUUCUCCAAACUUUAUUAUUUAGACCCUGGGUCUCCAAACACUCAGGUCUCCAAACCCAAGUCAGAGAACAGGAUGCUGCUUUGGUUCAAGAUGUAGGAGCAGCAACAAUACAGGGCUGGUGACGGCUCCCUCCUGGCAUUCAGUAUAGUGUAGAUCUACCGUGUAAUUAAUUUUCUGCUUCUUUGAGGAGCUGUGAAACCAAGGGACAUAAACAAUUGCUCUUUUCUCCCUGUUUCUGCCUGUAGCUUGAAUGUGAGGCAACUGUGAAAAGUGCAGGGCAGAGCCACCUGGGUAAAUACAGCCCUGGCUUUCUGGUGAGAGGACUGAAACCAGGAUGUGUCAAGUAACUAGAAUGUGCCUGGACAGAUACUGUAGAAAGCAAACCCAUAAAGUUGUUCAUGAGCUUGUGGACGCACCUGCCAGCUGUGAAUAAGUGGGUCUAAUCCCAAACAACUUACCUAAAAAGAGCCUGAGGACUGAACUAAACAAUGGUCCACUUUCCAGUCCUCACUGACCACUGGUUGCACACACUCCAGAGAUCUCUCAUCCGCAGUGUCAAGGCUUUCAAAUAGAGUUAUCUGUGAAACAACAACACAUGGAAGUCUGGUUGGUACUUGGAGCUUAAAUACAAGGCAAUUGUGUGCCUGCAAAAACAAAAAGAGCAAUAUUAUCCUUAAGAUUUCAACAAGACACAGUGUCUCAUCACAUAAUCCAAAGAAGUCCAGGUUACAAGCCCCAAAAUAUUCAGCAUUAUGAAAAACCAGGGAGAUCUUAAUUCACAUGGCAAAGAGAAUCCUUGCAUAACAAUAUUGAGAGGACACAUAUGUCAAAAUCAUCUGACACAUACAUUAAAGCAGUUAUUAUAACAAUGCUCCUAGAAUUACGGGAUAGCAUUCAUGAAGUGAAUGGAAAGUUGGAAAGUCUCACCAAAUAUUUGGAAUAUGUAAACACCAAUUUAAACUUAAGAAUUAAAAAAAGUAUUAACCAAAACUAUUAGGGGAAAUAAAAAGCUUAAUUGGAUGAUCUCAAUAGCAGUAUGCAGAAGACUAAGGAAAAAGUCAAUGAACUUGAAAACGGAACAAGAAUACCUACAGAAUCUGACCUAUAGAAAGAAAGGAGGAUUUUAUUGUCCCUGAACAGAGGCUCAGGGACAAAUAAAAAAUAACAAAUCUAACAUUCACAUUAUUGUAAUCUGGAAACAUUCACAUUAUUGUAAGAGGACAAAGAGGUCUUUGUGGGAUAAAACUGUGAAGAAUUAAUGGCUGAAAAUGUAUCAAAUUUCUCAAAAGAUAUAAACCAGAUUUUUAAAGUUCAGUAAAUGUCAAGCAGGAUAAACCAAAAGAAACCCAUUGCAAGACAUAUCAUAAUCAAACUGCGGAAAAUUAAGAAAACACAAAACAAUUUUGAAAGCAGCCAAAGGGAAAUGAAAGAUAAAAUACCAAAUGAAUGAUUGUAGAUUUCUCAUCGGGAACCCAGGAGCCAGAAAAAAAUGUCAUAACAUUCAGUAAAUACCAAAGGAAAAAUACAUUAUCAACCCAGAAUGGUAUGUGGAGCAAAAGUAUCUUCCAGACAUAAAGGCAAAUAAAUGCAUUCUCAUUGGAAGGUAAAUAAAUACAUUCUCAGUCCUAGCAAAACUGCUGGAAAAGAAUUAGCAAAGGUUUGAGAUAAGAAAAGUGAUACCAGAAGGAAACUUAGAACAUCAUCAAUGAAGGAACAAAAGCAGAAAUAGAAAAUGUCUGGGUAGACAUAACAGACUAUUAUUCUUCUCUUGAGUUCCUUAAGGUAUGUUUGAUGGUUGAAAGCAAAAAUUGUAACUUUAUCUGAUGCAGUUGUCAUUGUAUCUAGAUGUACUACAUACAUAAGAUAAAAGGGUAAAUGUAAUGGGACUAACUCUUGAUGAAGUUUCUAUAUUCAACUUGAAUGGUAAAAUAUUGAUUCUUAGUAUACUGUGAAAAGUUAUAUAUGUAUAUGGUAAUCCCUAGACCACUUAACAACCAGAUUGAAAUAAACCAAAACAAGAUAGACAGAGGAACAUAGAAGAAUUAAAACAAAGGGAAAAAAGGUUAAUAAAUUAUUAAAUAGUAGAUCUAUCUAAAAACUUAUCUAUAAUAACAUUAUAUGUAAAUUAUCUAAAUGCAUUAAGUAAAAACUAGAGAUCAUCAGAAUGUGUUAAAAAUAAAUAUGCUGACUAAAGAAAGCCACCUGCAAUACACUUAUAAAUAAGAAUAAAAGUUAUAGAGCAGAUUGAAAGAAAAGAGUGGGAAAAGAUACCUCAUGCAAGCAUUAAUCAAAGACAGCUGUGGUGUAUAUAUAUAAAAUCAGACAAAGUAGAUUUGAAAGCAGAGAAACUUUUCAGGAAUAAUGAGGCCUCCUAAAUAAUUAUGAUUGUCAAUUUUUCAGGAGAAUAUUGUCCCAAAUGUAUAUGAGGACACAGAGCUUCAAAACUCAUAAACAAAAUUGGAUACGCCAAGUAAAAAUAGAAAAAUCCAGUUAUAGUUGCAGUCAUUAACACUCCUCUCUGAGUAAUUGGAAGAUUUAGUGGAACACAAAUCAACAGACAUACUGGAGAAUUGAACCAUGCCAUCCAGUAAUGGACCUAUCAAUUUCAUAAUGCAAAAUAAAAAUUCAGGUAGAAAGCAAAGACAAAAAUUAAAAGAAAAGCAAGAUCAUGUUAUAAUGAGAAAAUUAAGAGUAGUCCAGUGUAUAGAAGGGUGCUAUUAUUGAAAGAGUUUGAAAUAGUGACUUAGUUAUUUUGAAACAUUUUUGAAGACGUUAUUUAGCUGGAAAUGACAGAAAGACUGAAAAUGGUGAAUGUGGAGGUGGAUCUUCCCUUGUCCAUAUUUAUCUUGUCUUCGUUUGAGGUCUGGGGUGUCUAUACUUCCUCUGAAUUACCUGAUCUUACUACAGUGUCUGGCACAGAGCAUCUCCCCAGUGAAUAUGUACUAAAUGAGUAGAAAGUAAUUGAUAGAUUCAAAAGAGUUGUGCAAGAAUAAUGUUCAUUAUUUGACUAAUCACUGAAUGUGGUGUUUCAAGGAAGACAAUGAAUCAAAGUUGACUUGAAAGGUAAGCCCAGGGCCAGACGUGGUGGCUCAUUUCUGUAAUCCCAGCACUUUGGGAGGCCGAGAUCAGUGGAUCCCUUGACACCAGG